UGAUUGGGUUUGGGCGGUGUUGUGUGUCCUGAUGGUGAGUUGUUGGAUAUCAUGUUGGUUUUUGUUUUUUGGUUUUUUAUGAAAUAUGUAGGUUUUGUUAGUGUUUUGGUUGGAUCUUUUGUGGGAGUUAGUGGAUUUUUCCUUGUUUGAAAAGAUAUUCAAGGAGUUAGGUACCAAAUAGCGUGCUGAAGUGAAGGAAAAACUUGAUCCUGUAGCUAGGAUUGGAAGAUGAAGCAUUAGUUUCUAGUGAUGAUGAAGAUGAUGAGGAAAAUGAAGCUACUGGAAUGACUUUGUUAUGCUUCUAUACAUUAUAUUUUGGUUUCUAUGCAACAUGUCUACAAGGUGGUAGUUUGUAAGAAAGUGUUGUUUGUUGCUUGUGGAUUGUUUCUGAACUUGUGUGUUGUGUUCUUGGUUGUUUUGUUUUUGAAAUUUUAUGCAAGCAAUCUAUUCAACCAAAAUGGCUGUUUUCAUUUCAUCAGUCCUUGUAAACCAGUCCCUGUUAUGUUGUUUAAAUUGCAGGAUGGUAAGAUUGAAGGUAUCGUAUAUCCUGAAGAAAUAAAGGAGUGUGAGCACCAUUUCUCCAGGUUUAGAUGCUCUUGUUCAUCAACAAUUUUUUUUUUGUUGCCUAUAUGAAUAUGGCGGUUUACUUUAGACCUGUUAAAGCUUUCAGUCAAGUGAAUUUGUGGAUUUGAUAUGCUUCUAUGUGCUGUUAAUGAUGUUCCUGUUCA